GAAGACCAGAACAUCAGAACCCAGUACCAGAGCAGAACCUGGAACCAGAACAGAACCAGCUGGAGACUCUCCUUCAGUCUGUGUCCGGUCUCCAUGGCAACCACUGCUGGACCAAGCCAUGGUGGCUUCAGCGACUGACGUCAGGGCUCAGCAUGUUGGAUGAAGCUUUAUGAACAAACCCAAACAAAAAUAUUGUCACCUGGAUGGAUGUUAGCUGGAUUCAGGCGCGCUGCCAUGGAGACGCUCCACUAGUCUCCUGCUGCAGACCAGUGGAGGUUAAAGGUCACCUUCCUCAGCUCAUGAAGCAUCAGCAGCGACUCGG